AACGUAGGUUCCGAGCGUUAUCCGGAUUUACUGGGCGUAAAGCGCGUUCAGGCGGUUUGACAAGUCGGGCAUGAAAUCUCUCGGCUCAACCGGGAGAGGUUGUCCGAUACUGUCAGACUUGAGGGCAGUAGAGGGUGGUGGAAUUCCGGGUGUAGUGGUGAAAUGCGCAGAUAUCAGGAGGAACACCGAUGGCGAAGGCAGGUCUCUGGGCAUUAACUGACGCUGAGGAGCGAAAGCAUGGGGAGCGAACAGG
rnacentral:rRNA from 1 species